rnacentral:rRNA from 1 species
UACGAAGGGUGCAAGCGUUAAUCGGAAUUACUGGGCGUAAAGGGUACGUAGGCGGUUGUUUAAGUCUGUCGUGAAAUCCCCGGGCUCAACCUGGGAAUGGCGAUGGAUACUGGGCAGCUAGAGUGUGUCAGAGGAUGGUGGAAUUCCCGGUGUAGCGGUGAAAUGCGUAGAGAUCGGGAGGAACAUCAGUGGCGAAGGCGGCCAUCUGGGACAACACUGACGCUGAAGCACGAAAGCGUGGGGAGCAAACAGG